GACUGACAGCCUGGACCCACCUGCCUUCCUGAUUUCUGUUCCAGAGCAAAGGUCACGCAGCUGCUGGCACCUCCUUUUUUUUCCCCUCUCUCUCAGCUCCAUUUGCUUUAUAAGGAAGGUCAGCUUUGCCAAGUUCUUGCAGUCGUUCCGUGAACCAGAACAUUCCCAGUGAAAGAUGGCGGAGAAUUCGAUCUUGCUGGCUGUUCUCUCGCUCCUCUCUGCCUGUCAGCAAAGUUAUUUUGCUUUGCAGGUAGGAAAGGCAAGAUUAAAAUACAAAGUGAUGCCUCCGGCUGUCUCUGGGUCGCCAGAGUUUGAGAGAAUAUUUCGUGCACAACAAAACUCUUUAGAGUUUUACCCAAUAUUCAUUAUUACAUUGUGGGUGGCUGGAUGGUAUUUCAACCAAGUUUUUGCUACUUGUUUGGGUCUGGUGUACAUCUACGCCCGUCACCGGUAUUUCUGGGGAUAUUCAGAAGCUCCUAAAAAAAGGAUCACUGGUUUCCGGUUAAGUCUGGGGGUUUUGGCCUUGUUGGCUGUCCUAGGUGCUGUGGGGAUUACAAACAGCUUUCUGGAUGAAUAUCUGGACCUCAAUAUUGCCAAGAAACUGAGGCACUUCUAAAGUGGCCCUCUCCUUUUGCUCAAAUGCCUGCAGAAGAUGUUUCCACUCUGAAGACAUUACAUGUACAUCAGCACCUUAGUAAGAACAAAAACAAAACAAAACCACCUUAUUAAAAUCUACCUCUAUUUACUUGGUCCCAGUACUGAGCAUUUGGAGGAAGCUUUUAAAAGAUAAUGGAGCCCCCCCCUCCCCCUCCAUCACCACCUCCAGUUUUCCAUCGUUGCUUAGAGAUUCAUUUCUUGGACCUUUCAGAAAAAGGUAAUUAUAUAUUCUGUCUUCUCGUUGGUUUACUUCUGUUUUUGGUUAUCAUCCCUGGCCACUCAAGACGUUCCCUGGUGGGUCCCUCCCCACACAGGGAGUUCUCGGUCACCCUGCCACCACCUCUUCCCAGAGGGAACACAACCCCGCCCGGUCCCUUGCUCUGAGUAGCCUUGUGACCUUGGCAUUGGGUGAGCAAGUCAAGGGCAGGGUUUGCCGGGCUGCCCCUGCCUCUACCUCCUCUGCCCCAGCUCUUCCUUCGAACCCCCCUCCCAGGACCUGCUCCCGGAGCUGCGCUGGGGCUCUGCAGCGCUGAGUUACACGUGAGUGUGCAGAGGGGAAGCCUGCCUUUGGACACAGAGGGGAGGGGUGGCAGGAGAAAAACACUCGCUUCUCUCACUCAGGACAAUGGCUGUGCCACGUGGCCUGCAAACCUGGACAGCAGGAGGGGAGGCAAGGAG